AGAGUUUGAUCCUGGCUCAGGAUGAACGCUGGCGGCGUGCCUAAUACAUGCAAGUCGAGCGAACAGACGAGGAGCUUGCUUCUCUGACGUUAGCGGCGGACGGGUGAGUAACACGUGGAUAACCUACCUAUAAGACUGGGAUAACUUCGGGAAACCGGAGCUAAUACCGGAUAAUAUAUUGAACCGCAUGGUUCAAUAGUGAAAGACGGUUUUGCUGUCACUUAUAGAUGGAUCCGCGCCGCAUUAGCUGGUUGGUAAGGUAACGGCUUACCAAGGCAACGAUGCGUAGCCGACCUGAGAGGGUGAUCGGCCACACUGGAACUGAGACACGGUCCAGACUCCUACGGGAGGCAGCAGUAUGGAAUCUUCCGCAAUGGGCGAAAGCCUGACGGAGCAACGCCGCGUGAGUGAUGAAGGUCUUCGGAUCGUAAAACUCUGUUAUUAGGGAAGAACAAAUGUGUAAGUAACUAUGCACGUCUUGACGGUACCUAAUCAGAAAGCCACGGCUAACUACGUGCCAGCAGCCGCGGUAAUACGUAGGUGGCAAGCGUUAUCCGGAAUUAUUGGGCGUAAAGCGCGCGUAGGCGGUUUUUUAAGUCUGAUGUGAAAGCCCACGGCUCAACCGUGGAGGGUCAUUGGAAACUGGAAAACUUGAGUGCAGAAGAGGAAAGUGGAAUUCCAUGUGUAGCGGUGAAAUGCGCAGAGAUAUGGAGGAACACCAGUGGCGAAGGCGACUUUCUGGUCUGUAACUGACGCUGAUGUGCGAAGGCGUGGGGAUCAAACAGGAUUAGAUACCCUGGUAGUCCACGCCGUAAACG
rnacentral:rRNA from 1 species